rnacentral:lncRNA from 1 species
CAAUAGUCCUUGAGUUCUUUCAUUUUCAUGGCAGAAAACCUCGGUCACGGAUGCUAGCAAUGAUGUCAAAGAGAGUUUGUUCAUAAGGUAUGAAUCCUCCAAUUAGCUCUGUAGUUUUCUUGUUCCCAAUCUUCUCGGGGGGGAUUCCAUCGUAUCUUCCGGCAUGAGGAACUCCAAAGCUCGUUUCAGGAACCCCCCUACCCAUACAAAUCUCAUUACGCUUUGAACAAAACUGAACAAAAAGAAAUGAAAGUACACUCACUCUUGGGCGGAGCAGCGAAGCUCGGGGAACUUUUCCUUGACCGAUUUCAGGACGUCUCUGUGGGAAACGCUCAGUGCAACGCAAAAGUAGCGCCCCGAAGCAGCCUCGUUCUCGACUGCCAAAAUGUGAGCUUUUGCAACAUCUCUCACGUCUACGAGAGGAAUGUAAGAACUUGGUGAAGGAUUCCGGGAACCUAGAUCAUCUCAAACAAGAGAAAUGUCUGUACGAGAAGACCAACGAAACCACAGUCAAACCUUCUACAACUUCUUUGAGGUAUUCGCUGCUACUGUUGAGGGUUUGUUGCAAGAGAGGACCAAACACGUAAACCGGGCACACCACGAGAAGUUUGAGCCCUUUCUCUUCGGCAAACUUCCAUGCCGUCUUCUCCGACUCCGUCUUGGCAACCAAGUACCACCGCUGCAAAACGAAGUGAGAGUCAAGAGUCGAAUUAAGUCAAAAGCCAGUCCCAUUUACUUGCCUCGUUUUUGCGGCAGUGGUCAACGUUCGUCCAGCAGCUCUCAUCGACCACCUUGUCCUCGGGACGAUCCGGGUCAAUCAUGACCGCUGCGCCGGAGGAGGUCAUCACCACUCGCUUGAUCUUCUCCUCGCUGCAAGCACGCAUCACAUUCUCCGUUCCAGUGAUUGCCGGGACCAACACAUCCUGGCAGAAAACAAAACUCGAAAUUUCUCAUCGCCCACGAGCAAAACCACCUAGACUCUCACAUCUGGGGUGUCAAUCUUCCAGAAGAAGGGGCAGGCUGUGUGGAAGACGGCCUCACAGCCCCGGACUGCCGGGACAAUGGAAUCGUAGUCGAGAACAUCGGCUUUGAACAGCUUGAGCCUCUCCCCAGCUCCUGGGAGCUGCUUGAGAUGUCCACACUUCGCAUUGUUACCUGGGUCAUUCAGAUUUCGGCUAUGGAUCAAAGGUAAAAGGGAGAAGUCUAUGCUUACUUGGGUCGCGCACGGUGCCGUGAACAGUAUAGCCUUUCUCCAAAAGCUGCUUUACAAUCCAAGAGGCAAUGAAACCCCCGGCUCCAGUCACACACACGACCUUCUUGCUUGCUUCCAUUGCCGUGCUCUUUGCUCUAAUUUGCUACUUAUUUGCUCUAGCUUGUGGUGCUGUGUAUUUAUACACUCUAUUAAGUCUUCAUGGAAACAUCUUAUACACUCUAUUAAGUCUUCAAGGAAGCAUCCUGGAGCACAGUGGCUAGACUACUGUUUAUCUUAAUUGGUAAAAUCUAAUUUUUUAUAGAUAGAUGGCGCUGUGCCGGUCUCUAAGCUACUUAUUUAUUGUGGCUGAAUCAAAUGUUUGCAUCAUGUUGGUGGAGUUUUUGUAAAGCAGGUGAGGACCACCAACCCAAGAGGCAACAGACAGGUCGGUGAAGCGGAGGGCGGGGACAGAAGGCAUGGUGGUAGAAGCCCUGGAAAAGCUUAGCGAACGAAUGGCUCAUGAGAUCAUCAAAACACCCUAAUGAAUGAGUUAAUAAGUUUGCUAUACUAAUUUCAGGUGAGAAUUCAGUGUUAUGCAAUGCAAAAUGCACUUUGAAGUUGCUGGCGGUACACGGAGGCGACAGUAGCAGCAAGGGAGGGUUCAAUUUUCGAUCUCCUCUUGCAUUUUUACAUUCCUCCAAAGACUAUCAAGCUCGCUCUCCAGUUCCCACUCACUUGCACAAUUGAGCAAAAUAUAAAACCUGCGUUCUCUUAAGCAAGAACUUUAGAGAAAGCAGGUUAAGUGCGUCGACUCCACUCUUAAAGUGGAGUUGAGUCUUUAUCUUUUGCAAACCAAUACACACAUUCAUUCAUUUUCGUUUUCAUACGGAUCUAUAGCAAUAGUCCUUGAGUUCUUUCAUUUUCAUGACAGAAAACCUCGUUCACGGAUGCUAUCAAUGGUGUCGAAGAGAGUUCGUUCAUAAGGUAUGAAUCCUCCAAUUAGCUCUGUAGUUUUCUUGUUCCCAAUCUUCUCGGGGGGGUUUCAUCGUAUCUUCCGGCAUGACCCUACCCAUACAAAUCUCAUAACGCUUUGAACAAACUGAACAAAAAGGAAUGGAAGUACACUCACUCUUGGAUCAUCACAAAAGAUAAAUGUUUGUACGAGAAAACCAACGAAACCACAGUCAAACCUUC